rnacentral:rRNA from 1 species
GGAAGUAAAAGUCGUAACAAGGUUUCCGUAGGUGAACCUGCGGAAGGAUCAUUACAGAGAAUAUCGCCCUCAAGGGGUGACUCUCCAACCCUGUGUUAUUGUACCUUUGUUGCUUUGGCGAGCCGCUUCGGCCACCGGCUUACGCUGGUGAGUGCUCGCCAGAGGACCCCAAACCCUGAAUUAUUAGUGUCGUCUGAGUACUAUAUAAUAGUUAAAACUUUCAACAACGGAUCUCUUGGUUCUGGCAUCGAUGAAGAACGCAGCGAAAUGCGAUAAGUAAUGUGAAUUGCAGAAUUCAGUGAAUCAUCGAAUCUUUGAACGCACAUUGCGCCCUGUGGUAUUCCGCAGGGCAUGCCUGUUCGAGCGUCAGUACAACACUCAAGCGUAGCUUGGUAUUGAGCCACGUCCGCAAGGGCCGGCUUUAAAAUCAGUGGCGGCGCCAUUUGGCUCUCAGCGUAGUAAUACUCGUCGCUGUUGGGUCCUGGUGGAUGCUAGCCAGCAACCUCCAACUUUCUAAGUUUGACCUCGGAUCAGGUAGGGAUACCCGCUGAACUUAAGCAUAUCAAUAAGCGGAGGA